GAUGAACGCUGGCGGCGUGCCUAAUACAUGCAAGUCGAGCGAACAGACGAGAGUGCUUGCACUCUCUGACGUUAGCGGCGGACGGGUGAGUAACACGUUGGUAACCUACCUAUAAGACUGGGGUAACUUCGGGAAACCGGAGCUAAUACCGGAUAAUAUUUAGCUUCGCAUGACCCAAUAGUGAAAGACGGUUUUGCUGUCAUUCAUAGAUGGACCCGCGUUGUAUUAGCUAGUUGGUGAGGUAACGGCUCACCAAGGCAACGAUACAUAGCCCACCUGAGAGGGUGAUCGGCCACACUGGGACUGAGACACGGCCCAGACUCCUACGGGAGGCAACAGUAGGGAAUCUUCCGCAAUGGACGAAAGUCUGACGGAGCAAUGCCGCGUGAAUGAAGAAGGUUUUCGGAUCGUAAAACUCUGUUGUAAGGGAAGAACAAGUACGUUAGUAACUGAACGUACCUUGACGGUACCUUACCAGAAAGCCACGGCUAACUACGUG
rnacentral:rRNA from 1 species